rnacentral:rRNA from 1 species
AACGAACGCUGGCGGCAGGCCUAACACAUGCAAGUCGAGCGCCCAGCAAUGGGAGCGGCGCACGGGUGAGUAACACGUGGGAAUAUGCCCUUUGGUUCGGAAUAGCGCAGGGAAACUUGCGCUAAUACCGGAUAAGCCCUUCGGGGAAAGGAUUUAUCGCCAUUGGAGUAGCCCGCGUCUGAUUAGCUAGUUGGUGAGGUAAAAGCCCACCAAGGCGACGAUCAGUAGCNGGUUUGAGAGAACGACCAGCCACACUGGGACUGAGACACGGCCCAGACUCCUACGGGAGGCAGCAGUGGGGAAUCUUGGACAAUGGGGGAAACCCUGAUCCAGCCAUGCCGCGUGAGUGAU